rnacentral:rRNA from 1 species
GAUGAACGCUGGCGGCGUGCCUAAUACAUGCAAGUCGAGCGAACGGACGAGAAGCUUGCUUCUCUGAUGUUAGCGGCGGACGGGUGAGUAACACGUGGAUAACCUACCUAUAAGACUGGGAUAACUUCGGGAAACCGUAGCUAAUACCGGAUAAUAUUUUGAACCGCAUGGUUCAAAAGUGAAAGACGGUCUUGCUGUCACUUAUAGAUGGAUCCGCGCUGCAUUAGCUAGUUGGUAAGGUAACGGCUUACCAAGGCAACGAUGCAUAGCCGACCUGAGAGGAUGAUCGGCCACACUGGAACUGAGACACGGUCCAGACUCCUACGGGAGGCAGCAGUAGGGAAUCUUCCGCAAUGGGCGAAAGCCUGACGGAGCAACGCCGCGUGAGUGAAGAAGGUCUUCGGAUCGUAAAACUCUGUUAUUAGGGAAGAACAUAUGUGUAAGUAACUGUGCACAUCUUGACGGUACCUAAUCAGAAAGCCACGGCUAACUACGUG